rnacentral:lncRNA from 1 species
AUGGAUCCCUGUACAAUGAUAGCAGCUGGCGCAGGAGCAGUCGCAGCCGUCGUUGGAGCUCCUGCUGUUCUAGCAGCCGCAGGUUUCACCGGCGCAGGAAUUGCUGCAGGUUCUGUUGCCUCCUAUUUGAUGUCAGCUACUGCUGUCGCUAACGGAGGAGGGAUUGCAGCUGGAUCCGUGGUGGCAGCUCUUCAAGCCGCUGGUGCAGCUGGAAUCCCUGUUGCAGCUCAGGCUGUGAUAGGUGCCAUAGGCGGCACUCUGGGUGCAGCUGUGGGUGGACCAUUGGUAUGCAGUGCAGGAGCCACAGGUGCUGUCACAAGCGGAGGUAUCAUGGGAGCUGCUGUGAGCUCAGUUGCAAGGUUAAUUGGUAACUGCACUGCGUAA